AGGAGAGAAGGUUUGAGGUGGAGGGGAACAUCUCAUUUGUUCCUUUUCGUUCUGUUAAGUUAAGGCUACCGUGGAUAACACCUUUUCCACUGUGCGAGGCCACCUUUGGGGUGUUCCUCCCUAGGUUUUUAAGUCUCUUUUCUCGGUCACUGCAUAUGACUGUUGGGAUGGAAGAUUCCUGUCCCCCACGUGUUUUCCUGUGGAAGGUGAAGGGUUAAACUGGAUCGAGCCUGUGGAUCCGGAUAACCCGGUUUGGAUCCGUC
rnacentral:lncRNA from 1 species